rnacentral:piRNA from 1 species
UCCAGGAAAGAUCUUUGGGUCCUACUAAGC